rnacentral:ncRNA from 1 species
CCGGCUCCGGUUCACGAUGCGGUUUCCGUUGCGCUGGCUCGAUGCAGUGCGCGCCGCUCGACCCGGCGGCC